UGGCAACCGACAUCAUCACCCCUUUCGAACAUGUAUUCUUCUCUCUCACUGAUUAGUUUUUUCCGUGAUUUCGCAGAAUCAUCAUAUUAGAAAUUGAAAUGGUGUACAAACCAGUAGCAUUAGUACCAGGUUCAUACAAUACAAGAUCAUUGAUGAGAUUUUGGUGAAGGCUGUUAAUAAUAAACGAAGGGUAUGAGUUGGAUUCGAUGAAAACUGAUAUUCAUGUUUAAGGGAAACUGAGACUGCUAAUGGAAAGCGGAAGAAAAUGUAUAAACAGAUGUUAUUUUCAAUGGGAUUACACCCAGAUAAUAUCUUUCCAGUCGAUCUCCAGAGAUUUGAUUUGACUAACCUUUUUGGUGAUGAGGGCUUCUCCAUUUCGGCAGCACGCAAAAAAACUUAAUUCAGAUGCCGUCCUUUAGGAACCAUGAUUAUCAAAUUCCCUAAACCAAUUUCUGCAGAUUGAAAUUGGUUUCAUAUCAUUGUUAGAUUUUAAAGCUCUUCCAACACCUCCCAGAACCGCCUACAAAACUUUCAAGCAUACAGCCGAGGAUGAAGAAGGCAAAUCCCUCGAUGACCCGCAUUCGAAUCUCAAAACUAGGACGAAUUAGAUUUCAUGGGGAAUAAUGAUGUCACCAGUUUGGAUGUGUUCAUGCUUGAUGACAAUGGCGAGAAACUGCACGGGGUGGUACCAAAGAACCUAAUCCGGAAAUUUGAUCCUUGCUUCCCAUUGGCGACAUAUAUUUCCUACACUAUUCGUGGGGAAAAAGAAGAUAUUUUUCCCCGCUCGCAGUGACCACUGUCUCUUCUUCAAGUGGGAUCGAUACCGAGGUGAAGCCUCUGCGCUGCACUUCGGUUGAACAAGCUCAAUUUUACCCAGUAUGAAGAUUUGGAAUCACGAUCUGCAAAUGCUUAUUUUAUGGGAAAAGAAUAGAGCCAAUGGUCAUUGCACGAUGCGGGACCUAACUCUUCAGAACCUAAGGGAAACACAAAGGAUAUUGUUGCAAGUUCAAACCAUCCAUUGUCGCACUAUUAUAAGUUGUUGUGGGUGCUGCAAUUUUUGAUUAUUAUGAGAUUUAAGUUGUUUAUAGAAGUACCACCCCAUUUUUCUGAUUUACAAUACUCAUAACCGACAUGACGAGCAAAGUUGUUGGACAGUACAAGUACAUCUGUAUGCAUUAACAUUUGCCAUGGGUCUUCACAAGUGUUGCGGGUUGUUGCCAUCCAAGUUAAGAUUUUUUUUAAAGGUAUAUCCACAGUAGUUACUAAGUAAUAAUUAAUCUCCUGCUCCCGGGGAACCAACAUUCAUUAUGGGAGGAGAUAAGGUUAAAAAAGGCCGGGAAACUGACGAAUGGAAUUAAGGGGAAAAUAUUACAAAUGCACAAGUUGCCGUGAAUCCAUAAUCGCAACUCAAACCAAGGUGUAAAGUAAAGCAAAUGAAAAAUUGUUUUCAUUUUUAUGAUACCUAGAUAUGGCAUAAUUCAAAUGGCUGUUUAUAGGCAAUAUCAACAACUGCGGCUUUAAAUACCAUUUGUACCAGGUUGACUUUCAGCUCUCAAUUUUUUUUGUGCUGAACUCCGGAUCGUUUGGAUUGAUAUUUGCGGCUUUCAAGAAAAUACAACUCGGGAACUCUUCUUGCCGUAAUAUUCAGGUAUUAAGAAUGUGGAGAUUCAUGAUCACUUCCCUGUGAGUUUCCAUUCACAAGCCCUCGAUGAGAGUGAAGUUUAUGAAUUUGGCAGGAUUGAUACUCAGAGGCUCAUAACAGUUGCCCACAUUAUGUUUAAAUUCCCAGGUGAAAGAGAAUUAAUACGGUUUCAAUCAAAGAGAAGAUUGGUGUGGGAACUAGAUAAACCGCCAAAGAUUAUCCAAGUCCUAAGGAUUAUUGAUUUGCUACAUGAACUCUUCUAUAUAGGGUUCUCUUGAAUUUUAAGAAUUUUAGGGUCUAAGCACUUUGCCAGGUAAUCUUUACAAGCUUCUCAUUGUACUUGUAUACACAAGAAUUGACGAAUUUUUUAUUCAAAAUCUAAGGUAAGUUCA